AGCCUCUGGUAGGAGUCGUGUGCUGUCCACCUGCCUCUGCACCUGGAUGUGAUUUCCUGAUCCGUGAUGAUGAUGACAGCUGCCCCAGACAGGAAGCUUUUUCCAGCCCCGGCCAAAGCACCUCUGCCUGUGACCUCCAGGCGGAUUCCUAACCAUGGGCCCACCAGGAAAGCCUGCGGACCAGGACUUGUCUUCAUCGCCCCCAGACCUUGGCAUCAGGACUCCAGGAGAGGCCGCCCCGGAAUGUUCCGCCCUGGCUCGAUGCCUGCCGGGCCGCGUGGCGGGCACAACGGUGCGGUUCACACCCCUGGUCCCACAGAAGCCCCUGGGGACUGGUGGCCAUGGAGGGACGUCACCCAGGCCUGAAUUGUGCUUUGGAGCUGAAAAGUCGCUGUCUCACAAGACCCAAGGCGGUAGGGUGCAGCAGCAGCCUGCCUGGCUAGAGAGGGAAGUCGGCCAUGAAUGAAUGAACGGGUUUGCUGCAGAGUCUGUGAGGCUUCAGGACAUUUUCUGGGUGAGGAGCCGGCCGGGGAGCGCGCCCACCUCUGCGGCAGCUCCGAUUGGCGCGUUUUCUCCAGCCUCCUGAGCAGCCUUGCCAAGUGUCAUAAAAAUACAUCAGUGCUCCGGCCGCCCAGAGUCGUACUUACUGCCAG
rnacentral:lncRNA from 1 species